CAGUCAGGAGAGCUUGAACUUGUGCAGUGAAUCCUAGUUGCCUUUCUAGCAUGGUGAUAGAAUAGCAGUCUUGGAGCAGAGGAAAGGCCUCUGCUUUUCCUGUGACAUUUGAGGACAAUUCCUUUACCUGUGCAGGCGGAAUUUACCAGUGGAAGACAGUGGGAGGAAGGCAAAGUAAGGGGAGAGGCUGCAGUACUGGCUGUCAUUAGGGAUGCACAAGCUGGUGGGAUGCAUUCCCUGUUCAACCUCCUCCACGCACGAGUGGAGUGCUCUGACUGCAAAAUCCAGCAGAUUCAUCCUUUUCACUCAUGUUCUGCCAUGCAGAAUUUGCAGUCUGCAGGGUAACUGUUCCCCACUGCUGCUGCUGGCCCUGGCAGCAGUACCUCGCUAUAGGCAUCUUUCUGCACCCCAGCUAACCACCACAUGAAGUGGGCAAUGGUUGCCUGUGUAUAACUGUGAAGUGAGAAGAAAUGUGGAACACAGGCUGCUGUUGCCUGAACGCAGGACUGAUCACACUGAGUAGAAGCAGCAGUACCAUCCUCAAAGCCAGGGAUGGCUGCAGAUUCCUGACCAGGAUUAUUAUGGUGGUUAUUCUCUUAAAGUAAUUUUCCAGAAUGUACAUGCACAUACUGCAUGGAGGAAACCAUUGAUUUUCAUAAUUCUUUCUCACAGAUGCUGCAAUGUGUGUGUCCUUUGCUGUCUGCAACAAAUUGCAGUCAGAUUUAUCAUAAAUUACAUGUGUGUUUCA